rnacentral:lncRNA from 1 species
GUGGCUUACGGCAUUUAAAAACUCAUUAUCUUCGGAAAUUGAAAUCUUGACUGGAACAACCCGAAACAAUAUUUAUAAAUAAUCCUAAUAGUCUUCCCAUUUUGUUCAGAAUUUUCGCAUUGCUUUGAAGCAAAUUUCAAAUGAAGUGUAAUACAGGUGAUACCAGUUUAGAAAUAACAAUCAGCUCUAGAUCUGAGAAGGCUCGG